GAGAUCAUCUCGAAAGAAUCGUCUGAUGAGGAAUUUGAAGUCUGGUUUUAGGGGCACCAUGGUAUUUGCUGUCAGUGGACUGGUAUGUAUCGUGCUGGAAAUCAUAUUGCAAAAAAGAUUUUAGCCCUACAAAAUGCCUUCUUAAUUAUUUGGAAAACUGGAAUGUGACGCUCUUGACCAUGACGAGGAUUGCAAGAAUUGGGCCAAUAGUACAAACGUUUUUAAGAGUUGGAUCCUGACAAUCAUGAUCACUUUCAAGUAUGUAAUAUUUUAAAAAUGCAGUGACAAAAAGUGGUCUCCUCAAAGUUUCUUGAAAAGUCGGUUGGGUUUCCAAAACUUUAGGAAUGUUUUCUCCAAUUUUUAUUACUGGUAUCCACAAACAACGAGGUUGUCUUUAUUUCAUUAUUAGCAAUUAGCAUCAGUUCUGUAUCCAUUUUGAAAGUAAUAAUUCUCGUUCCAUAAAACUUAAAUGUGGAACGUCCCAAUGUAAAUUUAUCAUAUUAGGUGCAUCCAGCAUGAAUAAUCGGCCAAUUAUUUGUUUGUAUCUUAUCAUCAUCGAAUGAAAUGAUUAUAUAUGUUUGGA